AGGGGCGGGGUGAGGAGGGCGGGGCGGUUGUGAAACCCUGGUAUUAAACAUAUUUUUCCCCUUAGUCUGAGACAUGACUGUAAAACCUUGUAAGGCCAUAGGGACACGCUCUACAGCCACAUGUCUCUGGGGGAAAAGUUGUCCCUACAUAUCUGCCUCCAAUAAACCUCACGAACUCAUAACCGCCCUAAAAAAACAAACUAUUAAACGCUGCGUCAUUGCGAGCGAGCGGAAAGACAUGACAGACACUAGAACGAUUUCCCUUCCAUAGUUAUUUAACUGCGGUUAUUACUGACUGAUGAACAAUAGCGUGGCGACGGAAGAAUGCAUGAGGUCAUGGAGAAAUGUAACGGUGGAGUCUACAAAGGCUCGGUUGGGGAUACGGGGGAGUGUGUAGGUGGGGUGUGUAGGUGGGGUGUGUAGGUGGAGUCCAUCUAUAAAGGCUCGGUUGGGGAUACGGAGGAGUGUGUAGGUGGGGUGUGUAGGUGGAGUCUAUAAAGGCUCGGUUGGGGAUACGGGGGAGUGUGUAGGUGGAGUCUAUAAAGGCUCGGUUGGGGAUACGGAGGAGUGUGUAGGUGGGGUGUGUAGGUGGAUUCUAUAAAGGCUCGGUUGGGGAUACGGAGGAGUGUGUAGGUGGGGUGUGUAGGUGGAUUCUAUAAAGGCUCGGUUGGGGAUACGGGGGAGUGUGUAGGUGGGGUGUGUAGGUGGAGUCUAUAAAGGCUCGGUUGGGGAUACGGAGGAGUGUGUAGGUGGGGUGUGUAGGUGGAGUCUAUAAAGGCUCGGUUGGGGAUACGGAGGAGUGUGUAGGUGGGGUGUGUAGGUGGAGUCUAUAAAGGCUCGGUUGGGGAUACGGAGGAGUGUGUAGGUGGGGUGUGUAGGUGGAGUCUAUAAAGGCUCGGUUGGGGAUACGGAGGAGUGUGUAGGUGGGGUGUGUAGGUGGAUUCUAUAAAGGCUCGGUUGGGGAUACGGAGGAGUGUGUAGGUGGGGUGUGUAGGUGGAGUCUAUAAAGGCUCGGUUGGGGAUACGGAGGAGUGUGUAGGUGGGGUGUGUAGGUGGAGUCUAUAAAGGCUCGGUUGGGGAUACGGAGGAGUGUGUAGGUGGGGUGUGUAGGUGGGGUGUGUAGGUGGAGUCUAUAAAGGCUCGGUUGGGGAUACGGAGGAGUGUGUAGGUGGAGUGUGUAGGUGGAGUCUAUAAAGGCUCGGUUUAAAACGGUCUAACCCCCCCCUGUACGGUCUCG